GUUCUCAAAUUCAGCUCAAUCCUGAAAUUUGUAUUUGAUUUGGUGGAACCCUGGGGAAAAAUAACAUUUUAUUAAAAGCAUGUUUAAGUUGGCCUUGUAUGAAAAACUUUGAGUUGAAGAAGGGCAUCCUUAACCAAUUUUCUGUUCAAUUUCACUACAGGUAAAAGCUAAAAAUUAUGACAAAGUUGAAAAGCUGUUCCAGAGGUGCCUCAUGAAAGUCUUGCACAUAGAUCUGUGGAAAUGCUAUGUGUCCUAUGUGCGGGAAACCAAACGGAAACUGCCAAGUUACAAGGAGAAAAUGGCACAGGCGUAUGACUUUGCGCUUGAUAAAAUUGGCAUGGAAAUCAUGUCCUAUCCGAUAUGGGUCGACUACAUUAAUGCAAUGAUGUAACGUUAAAGCUGAAAUCAAACCCAAUGUCGGGUCGUACAGCUGUGUGUGUGGCCAGCUUCACAUGGGUCAGUUCAACUCUAUCAGUCUGCGCUUCUCUUGAUGGAUCCAGUUUUAAGGUUUUACAUUUCUUCCUAUCACAGGACAUGAACAACGCUAAACUGUUCAGCGAUGAAGCUGCCAAUAUCUAUGAGCGGGCAAUCAGUACACUUCUAAAGAAAAACAUGUUGCUGUAUUUUGCCUACGCAGACUACGAAGAGGUCAG